UUGAUCCUGGCUCAGGACGAACGCUGGCGGCGUGCUUAACACAUGCAAGUCGAACGGAAAGGCCCUUCGGGGUACUCGAGUGGCGAACGGGUGAGUAACACGUGGGUGAUCUGCCCUGCACUUUGGGAUAAGCCUGGGAAACUGGGUCUAAUACCGAAUAUGACCGCGCUCUUCAUGGGGUGUGGUGGAAAGCUUUUGCGGUGUGGGAUGGGCCCGCGGCCUAUCAGCUUGUUGGUGGGGUAAUGGCCUACCAAGGCGACGACGGGUAGCCGGCCUGAGAGGGUGACCGGCCACACUGGGACUGAGAUACGGCCCA
rnacentral:rRNA from 1 species